AACCUAAGCAUGACGAUUGGGUUUUCAGGCUGUUUUAUGAUAUGUGCCUUCCUCAAAACUUGUUACGAAAAAGAAAAAAUAAAACCCAUCUGACA
ensembl:snoRNA